AUUGAACGCUGGCGGCAUGCCUUAUACAUGCAAGUCGAACGGCAGCACGGGUGCUUGCACCUGGUGGCGAGUGGCGAACGGGUGAGUAAUACAUCGGAACAUGUCCUGUAGUGGGGGAUAGCCCGGCGAAAGCCGGAUUAAUACCGCAUACGAUCUACGGAUGAAAGCGGGGGACCUUCGGGCCUCGCGCUAUAGGGUUGGCCGAUGGCUGAUUAGCUAGUUGGUGGGGUAAAGGCCUACCAAGGCGACGAUCAGUAGCUGGUCUGAGAGGACGACCAGCCACACGGGGAUUGAGACACGGCCCAGACUCAUACGGGAGGCAGCAGUGGGGAUUUUUGCACAAUGGGCGAAAGCCUGACGGAGAAAUGCGGCGUGAGUGAGGAAGGCCUUCGGAUAGAAAAGCUUUUUUAUCGGGAAAGAACCUUUGGGCAAGAAACUGUGCGGGGGUUGACGGUACCGAAAGAGAAAGCCACGGCUAACUACGUG
rnacentral:rRNA from 1 species